AUGAACGCUAGCUACAGGCUUAACACAUGCAAGUCGAGGGGCAGCAUGGUCUUAGCUUGCUAAGGCCGAUGGCGACCGGCGCACGGGUGAGUAACACGUAUCCAACCUGCCGUCUACUCUUGGACAGCCUUCUGAAAGGAAGAUUAAUACAAGAUGGCAUCAUGAGUCCGCAUGUUCACAUGAUUAAAGGUAUUCCGGUAGACGAUGGGGAUGCGUUCCAUUAGAUAGUAGGCGGGGUAACGGCCCACCUAGUCUUCGAUGGAUAGGGGUUCUGAGAGGAAGGUCCCCCACAUUGGAACUGAGACACGGUCCAAACUCCUACGGGAGGCAGCAGUGAGGAAUAUUGGUCAAUGGGCGAGAGCCUGAACCAGCCAAGUAGCGUGAAGGAUGACUGCCCUAUGGGUUGUAAACUUCUUUUAUAAAGGAAUAAAGUCGGGUAUGGAUACCCGUUUGCAUGUACUUUAUGAAUAAGGAUCGGCUAACUCCGUGCCAGCAGCCGCGGUAAUACGGAGGAUCCGAGCGUUAUCCGGAUUUAUUGGGUUUAAAGGGAGCGUAGAUGGAUGUUUAAGUCAGUUGUGAAAGUUUGCGGCUCAACCGUAAAAUUGCAGUUGAUACUGGAUAUCUUGAGUGCAGUUGAGGCAGGCGGAAUUCGUGGUGUAGCGGUGAAAUGCUUAGAUAUCACGAAGAACUCCGAUUGCGAAGGCAGCCUGCUAAGCUGCAACUGACAUUGAGGCUCGAAAGUGUGGGUAUCAAACAGGAUUAGAUACCCUGGUAGUCCACACGGUAAACGAUGAAUACUCGCUGUUUGCGAUAUACGGCAAGCGGCCAAGCGAAAGCGUUAAGUAUUCCACCUGGGGAGUACGCCGGCAACGGUGAAACUCAAAGGAAUUGACGGGGGCUCGCACAAGCGGAGGAACAUGUGGUUUAAUUCGAUGAUACGCGAGGAACCUUACCCGGGCUUAAAUUGCAGAUGAAUUACGGUGAAAGCCGUAAGCCGCAAGGCAUCUGUGAAGGUGCUGCAUGGUUGUCGUCAGCUCGUGCCGUGAGGUGUCGGCUUAAGUGCCAUAACGAGCGCAACCCUUGUUGUCAGUUACUAACAGGUUCCGCUGAGGACUCUGACAAGACUGCCAUCGUAAGAUGUGAGGAAGGUGGGGAUGACGUCAAAUCAGCACGGCCCUUACGUCCGGGGCUACACACGUGUUACAAUGGGGGGUACAGAGGGCCGCUACCACGCGAGUGGAUGCCAAUCCCCAAAACCUCUCUCAGUUCGGACUGGAGUCUGCAACCCGACUCCACGAAGCUGGAUUCGCUAGUAAUCGCGCAUCAGCCACGGCGCGGUGAAUACGUUCCCGGGCCUUGUACACACCGCCCGUCAAGCCAUGGGAGCCGGGGGUACCUGAAGUGCGUAACCGCGAGGAGCGCCCUAGGGUAAAACUGGUGACUGGGGCU
rnacentral:rRNA from 1 species